GAAGGGCUCCCUGUACAAUGGAAGCCCUUCUGCCUUGCUCAAGACUGGAUGUCCCUCUUUUCUAACUUGCCUAAACACCAUCGGCACACAGCACAGUCCUUUGAGUGGGUCUCACACUGGACACAGCAUCGAGGAGCUUCUCCACGGGGAAGUGUGUGUGUGAGAGCCUGCCUGUGUGUCAACACUGUCCAAGACUCGGAGCUGCGACUCGGUCGCGUGGUGCGGAGUCCAGGGCUGAGAAGGCAGCGCACUAAAUAUCUCUGUAUCAGGUGGACCCAGCCGAACUCCGCAGCAGCCCAGGCCAGCGCCCCACCUCCGGGUCACCGGCAUGAUCCGCCUCUCCCCGGGCCCCCGCGGCCCUGGCACCCGAGGUCAGCGGGCCGUGGGUACAGCUCAGCCGCGGACCCUGCUCCGCGAGUGCGGGAGCUUUGGACUUGAACGCGACGUGCUCGCCCGGCUCCCAACAAACUUGCAAUUUCCGCGCGCACCCCUUAAACAGGAACUGUUCCCCAAACCUUGACCCAGCUACCCCGCUGUGCUCUGGCCCGCGGACCUGUGUCCGAACCCGGGCUCGGCUGCCGGAACCGGUUUGAGAAAACAAAAGAGUUGUGGGGCAGUUUUCCCUGUGGGGGGCAGGGGCGCCUCCCAGGUCCCUGCACCCCGACUCCCGGCUGCUCCCCUGGCAACUAAUCCGGAGAAGGGAAGUGGUGCCACGAGCCCCCACUGCCCGGGGAGGGAGGGAGAGAGAAGGGGGAACUGGGAAAUAAACUGAAUUCUCUUACUCUGCCUCCGUUCCUGGACCCCAGACACACCCCCAAAGUAUUCCACGGUUUUCUCUUAUUAUUUUUUUAAACGCCCCCCGGCAAACCUAGGCAGGGAUCCUUAGCCGCGAACAGCAGGAAGGAAAGAAUCCGAGCAAAUCGUGUCACUUUCCGCACAAUCGCGGUGUUUGGCAAGCCCCCGGAGCUACUCCACAAUAUUUACUACCCAAGCGCACGCAGGCUGCAGCGGGCUGCGAGCCGAGCGCGCCCGGGACCGGCCUCCGCCAAGCCGGCCCCGCCGCGGCCCGGCCACCGCCGCUCCCCUCCCAGGAUCAAGCAGCAAGAACACGGUGGAAACAAAAGCAGAGCGUUCACCUUGUUGCAAUAUGUUCAGCAAAACAAGCUUAGACGGAACAGAGUGAGGUGUCUGGGCUCAGGAGUAAAAGAAACACCUUCCUUCCCUCACAUCCGUUUGUGGUUUGUUUAAGAAGAAGAGGAAAAAAAAAAAAAAGAGGGGGGAAAAGCGCUCAACUCUCCCCCAAGCCGCGGCGCGCACCCGUCGGCGCCGAGCGCGCAGCCUGCUCCACCGCCGCCUCUUGGUCCCGCCGCCGCCGCUGCCGCCGCCGCCGGGCAGCUGGACGCCCUAUAGGGCUCUUGGCAGUCCACGAAAGACCUGGAGUCCGCCUCCCCAUUUCUCCGGUCGGUGAGUGGCAGGAGGAAAUCGCCAAACAUGUUUUCCCGCUUUGCCUCCCCAACUCGGAAACUUGCAACUUGCCGUGUCCUGGAGGUUGAGACAAUUUGGGGUCUCUUGGCUGCCGUCCAACAGAUUUAUCUCUGAGGGCAGUGUCCUUGGUGAGAGGUCCAAGUAGGUGUGGGCGACAUUGUCCUCCAUCUCAUGAGGGAGCAGCCCUGCACACUAGGGCCCAAAACUCUGCGAAGGAGCUUGGAAGUUCUUCAUCCGUUCCACUUGUUUUGCUACUCCACACACCCUUCUAGGACAUGUUGAUUGCCAACUGCUCUGUGCAGCUUUCCCAUAGCUGUCUGUUCCCGUGCAUUUCGGAGCACCAAGCAAAUACGAGCAGAGAGACCUGGAAAAAAAAAUGAUGAAGACAGUAUUAAUGAUAAAAUUAACAUGGCUGAGUGAAUUGUCAAUGCAAGUUCCUUUACUAACUCUUUGUUAAGUUUUGCUUUGUACUCCUUACAUCCUCUUUCUCUUAAGCCAUUGUUUUAAUUUCUUCUCGUUAUCAUUUUUAAAAGUAACAGAAAUACAGCUUUCUUCCUACCUUCACGAUUGACUUGGUGGAGGUUGGGUUGCAAAGAGGAAGCAGUAAGAAAAAAUAAUUAUUCUAUACAUUCACAAGUCCUUCAAGGCACAAAAUAAAAGUAAGAAAUAGAAAAUAUGUCCUUUCUCCUAAUAAAGGUCUUUAUAAUAAAAUUUAAAUGAAGUUUUGUGUUUCAUAACAGCUUCCCAAAUACUGUUGUAGAUACUAAAAUGUGCCUGUAUGUAUUUCCUUCCACAAUAAUAAUAGUAAUAAUAAACUUUUUUAGGUCCAAAUUAAACAUUUCUCAGCUUAAAUUUCUAUCCUCAAUCCAACAUUUAUUAUAUCAAAACUUGAUUUUUAAAAAUAAAACUUUCUUGGAAUUCAUCAUUGAUGUCUGUUUGAUGGCCUCGUGAACAUCAGGAAGAUGAAAUGAAAUGGUUCAAGACUGGAACAAUACCAUUAUCUGCAUCUUGACUCCUGGGAGAUAAUGAUAUCUCCUGCUUUCCUCUACAGACCUACCAGUUUUCUCUGCUUUAAGGGAAAAUCCAAAUGCAUGAGACCUGUGCAUUCUUCUACAUAAUCAAGAGUCUGGUUUCUUCCAUCGGAGUGUAUGGAGUUAAAGUGGUAUACUGUACAUGGCAUGGUGUGAUAGGUGGGAAUAUGAGCUACUGGGGGAAAAAGUUCUUACUUCUAGCCACUUAUACAAAGAGAGGCCAUCUCAGUGUAAUCUGAAAAAAUGCUCACUUUAUAAUGCUGUAUCCAAGGCCCAUCAAAAACUAAAUGGAUGUAUUUGUACUAAAAGUUGGGGAAAGUUGAAUAUCUAAACCUCUGAGCAAAUCUUUCUUAAUUUAGAAAAUAAAAUAGAGCAUCAUUGUAAUACUUUUCAGUUUCCUGGACAUUCAACUCCA
rnacentral:lncRNA from 10 species